rnacentral:tRNA from 1 species
GGAGGUGGAUGGGUGCUAGUGUGCCCUCUAGUCUUCAAAACUAGUAUGAGGGGUUAAGAGCUUCUUGGGUGGGUUCGAUUCCCACCACUCCCCGCCA